GAAUUUUUCACAAGUUGUUUAAAAAUUUGAUAAAUUUUUUUAAAAUGAAUUAAAUUUUGUAGAAAAUUGUAUGAAACUUUGUGCAACUAUUUUAACAGUAUACAUAAAAUGGUUGUUUUUUUUUUCUUCUACUUUGUUCAUAGUAAUUAUAUCUGAAAAAGAUAUCCUAGGAUAAUGGGACAGGUGCAGCCACUGUUACGUAUAACUUAAUGUAUGCCUAUAAGCAACAAUAAUUGAUUCUGAGCAGAGUUCAGUUGAUAGUGAUGCUUUAUAAACAAUAUAUGUAAUUUUAUAGUAAACUAUACAAGCUUUAUAUAUUUUCUUUAAUAAUAUUAAUAUUUUUUUAAUGUUGUACCGAUUUUUCCCUGUUUUCCUGUUUUAUCUUGGUUUUUCACAUUUGCUGGGAAAAAUGAGAAAAUCGAAAAAUUACCUUAAAGUACCUCCCCACAUCAAUUUGCUUUCAGAA